rnacentral:tRNA from 1 species
UAGAAGGACAGGAAUCGAACCUGUACCAAAAGACUCAAAAUCCUUUGCACUUCCUUAUACAACCUCCUA